UACGUAGGGGGCAAGCGUUGUCCGGAUUUAUUGGGCGUAAAGAGCUCGUAGGCGGUUGGGCAAGUCACGUGUGAAAUCUCCACGCUCAACGUGGAGGCGCCACGUGAGACUGCCCUGACUCGAGUCCGGUAGGGGAGCGUGGAAUUCCCGGUGUAGCGGUGAAAUGCGCAGAGAUCGGGAGGAACACCCGUAGCGAAGGCGGCGCUCUGGGCCGGUACUGACGCUGAGACGCGAAAGCGUGGGGAGCAAACAGG
rnacentral:rRNA from 1 species